CAGGGAGAGCACACACUGGAUGCUGUGGGUUUGUAUUUCACUGGGGGUCUGCUCUCUCCCAGGAAGCCAGAAGGUUGGAUGCUCAAACCACUCCAGCAUAGGGGCAAAGCUGUGGAUCACACCACCUCUCAAGCAACAAAGCAUGCCAUGAUAAUUUGGUGACCUUAGGUGGGGGAAGGAAAGGUCACCAGGAAGAAGAUGGAGAGGCUCUCACUGUAUAGCUCUGGUUGUCCUGGAACUCACCCUAUAGACCGGGCUGGCCUCAAACACACAGCGACCCACCUGGAUCUGCGCCCUAAAUGCUGGGAUUAAAGGGGAGCAUCACCACACCUGCUGGAACUCAGAUUGCUAAUAGGAAUGAGACAGAGCUGACUCAUCUGCCGAAGGCCACAGGCUCCUGUGUGAAAGAGAAGCAUAGAAGUUUCUUUUUCACAUGAGGCUUAAAGGAAGGGCUAGGAAGUAAGGGGACGGUUUGAGGGGAAGGGCUGGGGUGAAGGCCUCCCAUCUUUGCGUUCCCUCUCACGCCUUCCUAAAAACACCAUUCAUUCCAUGACUUUAUUAUUUUCCUUUUUCAUGUGUGUGGUGUGAGUAUAUGUAUAGUCUCGUACAGGAGCAUGUAUACAUGUGCGCACACACAGAAGCCUCAGGUUGGUGUCAGGGAUCCUUCUCUCAACCUCAUUCCGUGAGGUGGCGUCUCUCCAUCAAACUCAGAGCUUUCCUGCACACAGCUAGCCUUGUUAGCCAGCUUGGUCUGAACUCUCCUGCCACCACUCUCUCAGGCUGGAAUUACUGGAUUUACAUGGCUCUGGAGAGCUGAAAUUUGGCCCUGUAGUUUACAAGGCAAUUGUUUUAACCAUUGAGUCAUCUCUCCAGCUCUGAUUCUAUCACUUUAAAUGUCACCCUUCCUCAGGGCUGGAUUUCCACUCCAGCUUUCCAUUGGAUGUCCCCAUAUGACUUUCUUAUAAAUGUCCGAAACUUAAUUCCCAAGUGAACAGAUUUUCACUCAUGCUAACAUAAAAAAAUACCAUCUCCCUCUCAUGCACUUAAUGGCACCACCAAGGACCAGCCUCUCAGGGAAGAAAUGUGAGUCCUACUUGCCGUCUCUGUUUCUCACCCAUCACAUGGACUGUUGUGGGAUAUCUGUUUAAUUAUGCAAAAAUGUGUUGCAUUUGUUUAUGUUAUGGAAUAUUUGUAUAAUUAUGUAAAUAUGUGUUGCUGUUUUA